rnacentral:misc_RNA from 1 species
ACCUCCCACCCGUGUUGACCGACACCUGUUGCUUCGGCGGGCCCGCCAGGGCUCCCGCCCGGCCGCCGGGGGGCCCCGUCGCCCCCGGGCCCGCGCCCGCCGAAGACCCCUCGAACGCUGCCUCGAAGGUUGCCGUCUGAGUCUGAAAUCAAUCGUUAAAACUUUCAACAACGGAUCUCUUGGUUCCGGCAUCGAUGAAGAACGCAGCGAAAUGCGAUAAGUAAUGUGAAUUGCAGAAUUCCGUGAAUCAUCGAAUCUUUGAACGCACAUUGCGCCCCCUGGCAUUCCGGGGGGCAUGCCUGUCCGAGCGUCAUUGCUAACCCUCCAGCCCGGCUGGUGUGUUGGGCCGCCGUCCCCUCCGGGGGACGGGCCCGAAAGGCAGCGGCGGCGCCGCGUCCGGUCCUCGAGCGUAUGGGGCUUUGUCACGCGCUCUGGUAGGCCCGGCCGGCUUGCUGGCCAACGACCUCACGGUCACCUAACUUCUCUCUUAGGUUGACCUCGGAUCAGGUAGGGAUACCCGCUGAACUUAAGCAUAUCAAUAAGCGGAGGAAAAGAAACCAACAGGGAUUGCCCCAGUAACGGCGAGUGAAGCGGCAAGAGCUCAAAUUUGAAAUCUGGCCCCUCCGGGGUCCGAGUUGUAAUUUGCAGAGGAUGCUUCG